UGGCUGUACCAUUUUACAUUCCUACAAGCAGUGCACAAAAGUUCCAAUUUCUUUGCAUCCUCACCAACACUUGUUAUUUUCUGUUUUGUUUUGUUGUUUGUUUGUUUUUGAUAGCAUCCAUCCUAAUGGGUGUUAGGGUUCUUUUUAAUUAAACUUUUUAUUUUGUAAUAAUUGUAGUCACAUGCAGUUAUAAGAAAUAAUAGAGAUUCCCUUCGUUUGGUUCCCAUCCCCCAGCUUUCACCAGUGAUGACAUCUUGUAAUAGUAAUAAUAGCUACAGCCUGGAAAUUGACAUUGAUACAAUCCACCAGUCUACUUCAGAUUUCAGCAGUUUGCAUGAUUUUUUAAACAGGUGAAUCUGAUCAUAUCACUUCCCUGUUUAAAACUUUUCUAAGUAUGUUCAUUGCAUCAUUGUUUUAAUUAUUUAAAAAAUAAAAUAAAAAUUAGAAACAAUCCGAAAUGUUCAGCAACAGAGAAACGGUUUAAUUGAUUACAUUACAUUCUUAUAAUAGGCAUAUAAUGCAGCCAUUAAAAAGAACAUAGCGGGCUUCCCUGGUGGCGCAGUGGUUGAGAGUCCGCCUGCUGAUGCAGGGGACACAGGUUCGUGUUCUGGUCCGGGAGGAUCCCACAUGCUGCGGAGCGGCUGGGCCCAUGAGCCAUGGCCGCUGAGCCUGCGCGUCCGGAGCGUGUGCUCCGCAACGGGAGAGGCCACAACAGUGAGAGGCCCGCGUACAGCAAAAAAAAAAAAAAAAAAAAAAAAAAAGAACAUAGUAACCGUAUAUAUACUGAUAUAGACUAGUUCCUGUGGUCCAUUAUUUUGCUACUGAGAAGAUCCAGGUGCAGAAUAGUGAGUACCUUUUGGGUAUAAAGACAGAGAAUGUAGGGAAGGAUAGGUAAGACAUUGUCCACAGCAGUGGUCUUUGGAGAGAAGCAAACAGUAGGCUGAGAUUCAGGAGUGAGAUGAAGACAUUCACUUUGUUUUGCAGCGGUUCUCAGACUUUUUAAUUUUGGACCCUUUUAUACUCAAAAUUAUUGAGGACUCCAAAGCACUUUUAUUAAUGAGGGCUAUUAGAAAUUAAGACUAAGAAAAAUUUUAAAUAUUUAUAUAUUAAUUCAUUUAAAAAUAACUAUAAUAAACCAAUUAUAUAUUAAUGUAAAGAACAUAUUUUUAUGAAAAGAAACUAUUUUUUCCAAAACAAAAAAAUUUAGUGAGAAGAAUGGCUUUGUUUUGCAUUUUUUGAGAGCCUCUUUAAUCCCUGGCUUAAUAGAAAACAGCUUGAUUCUCAUAUCUGCUUCUGCAUUCACUCUAUUGCAAUGCAUUUUUUUGGUUGAAGUAAGUGAAGAAAACUCAGUGUCACAAAGAUAUAUAGCUAGAAAAAGGAGGAAACUUCUAAUAGCCUUUUGUGGUUAUUCUUUUCUGAUAGCACAUCAAAAUUCGACAAGUGGCAUUUUCUUAAAGGUUAGUUGCAAUGUAAAUCUGAAACCAUAGCAAGAACAUUUUUCAUACUCUGUUACCUUAAAAUCUAUUGUCUUGUCUUGCACUUUGAAUGAAUCUUUUAUAUGUGCAUGACUUUGUAACAUCAUACGUUUGUCAUUUGGAAAAUACUGAUUGAGUUAUACAGAUCUUCCAAAUUUUAACACAUUUAAGUAUACAAUAUUGAAAAAUCACAUUUGUUACUGUCACUACUAAUCUCAUCAGAAAAGCCUUUAAGUACCAGUAAAAGAAAAAACUGCUGUUUUUCACAACACUUAUGAUACCCAAUGUAUGGAUUUUUUUUUUCUACAUCAACCAGUUUUCUAGACACCAACUGACACUAACUACUUGGAGGUACAGCAGACCCCCAGGUUAAGGGCUCAGUCCCACAGACCGCCACCACUUCAGAUGCCAGCUACAAGUCCCAAGUUGUCACUUGUACUGACAACUAAUCAGUUAUUAAGGCUGGGGUUCCCACAACCCCCUUUUAGAGAAUUUGCUAUAAUGGUUCACAGAACUCAAGGAGACACUUAAAUUUACCGGUUUGUUAUAAAGGAUAAAAUAAAGGACAGAGAUAAAAAGCCAGAUAAAGACAUACGUAAAGCAAGAUCUGGGAGGGUCCUGAGUGCAGGAGUUCCAUCCACAUGGAGUUGGGGUGCACCAUCUCCCAGCACAUGGAUAUUUUUACCAACCCAGAAGCUCUCCAAAUCCCUUUGGUUAAGGGAUUUUAUGAAGGCUUCAUUACAGAGGCAAGAUUGAUUAAAUCACUGACCAUUGAUGAUUAAGUCAGCCUCAAGUCCUGCUCUCCUCCCCAGAGGUAAGGGAUGGACCAAAAGAUCCAACUGAAACUGGAGGGAAGGGGGCAGGGCACAACCUUUAAAACAAUGACACAGCCACAGGACAUGACAAAGACUGGUUAGAACUAACUAGAUCCAAGAUGGUGGAAGACUUGACUUCCAGUGGAACUUGAGCCUCAUUAUGUGCUCAUUGUAACAUAUUAGCAUAAGCUAAGUGACACACCCACCAGCACCAUGACAGUUCUGAGGCCAGCCAGGAGUUGAUACUACCCUCCCUAUUAUACAGCUGGAAAAAUUGAGGCCCAGGGAGGUAGAGUAACUUGCUCAAGGUGGGAGCCAGGACUCACAUAUGGUUCUUAAGUCACUGGAGCAGCCAAGGCAUUCUAGGUCAGGACAUUCAAUUCAGAGUGGCAGCCUCAGGGGCCACCAGGGAUCAGGGCAAAACAGCCUGAGGAAGGGAAGAAAACACAGGUGAAGUCUCUGUUUCUUGGAGCCAAGAGCUUCCUUGGAGAGAGUGGGGUGAGCUCUACUUAGUAGAGUCAUCUUGGUCCUAGAAGCUAACGGUAACUUGGGGCAGCAAGUCUCUGGUCACCCUAACCCCUGAGAGGAGUGCCCUGGGAGGGGGAAGGGACCACAGGCUGAUCAAAGGCAGUGGGCACCAAGUGGCCUCAGCCCUCCCAUCUUCCCCCUCGUCCUCCAGGCUCCUGGUGGGAAAGAGCAGUAAGUGCCCAGCCCUGCAGAUUCAAUCAGAGCGAGGAGUGAGGCCAGGCCAGCCUCAGGAGUAUUGCUAGGAGCCCCACUCCUCUCUAGUCUCCCUGACCACCAAAGAUCAAAAAGUGGGCGGUGGCCCAAUUUCUGGAAAUCCCCACCCUUUCCCCAAAAUAACUGGAAUACUCCUCCCACUCAUUAGUCAAUGAAAUUACCCACACUAUAAAAACUGACAACCCCAUACCCUAGCGCUGCUCUCGCCUUCUGAGAUGGCCCACACUCUGUCUGUGGAAUGUGUUUCUCUCUAAAUCCACUUCUUACCUAUCACUUUGUCUCUCACUGAAUUCUUUCUGUGGUGAGACAUCAAGAACCUGAGCUUCAUUAAGUCCUGAGACUAGGUGUGUGAUCUCAGUUAAAAGAAGGUGGGUUCGAGACUUCCCGUAGUGGUCCAGUGGUAGAGAAUCCAUGCUUCCAAUGCAGGAGGUGCAGGUUCGAUCCAUGGUCAGGGAGCUAAGAUCCCACAUCCUGCGUGGUGCAGCCAAAAAAAAGAAAAAGAACAUGAGUUCAAGUCCCAGUCUGGGUUUUGGCUUGCUUCAAAUCCAAGCACGUGGGUUCAAGUCCCAAUCCGAGUUGCACGGUUUCACAGUCCCCUCUAAUCUUAUGAUUAGUUCCUCUGGCAACCAGCCCAGCAUCCUUCAGAAGUCAUCCUAUUAGCAUAAAUUCAGGUGUGGUUGAAAGGGGCUUAUGAUGAAUAACAAAAGACCUUCUCUCACCCCUAUGACUCUGGAACUUCCAAGGGUUAUAGGAGCUCUGUGCAAAUAAAUGGAGGAAAACCAAAUACAUAUUUCUUAUUAUAUCCCAGUUUUGAUGCCAAAAACUCGGCCUCUGUGCUGAAUCGAAUCUUGGAGACAGAGAUUUGGGUGAUGUAGAAAAGGAUAACUUCAUUGCUUUGCCAGGCAAAGGGGGACACAGCAGGCUUGUGUCCCUCAAAACUGUGUGUCCCAGCCUAGGAGGAUUUGGUGAGGAGUUUUAUAGCAAUGGUUCAAGGGCAGGUUGCUGAUAAGGAUUAGGCUGUGUUCAGGGUCUGCACUCAUUUAAUCUGGCCUCAGGUGGUCUCCUUCUAAUGAGCUUCUCUGGUUCCUUUAAUCUGGCCUCAAGCAGUCUCUUGAUGAAGUUCUCAAGGUUAUUAAACUAUGAUCUUCUCCAGAAUGAAGAAUGCUAACAUUUUCCAUUUGUUCAGGGUUUUAGUUCUGUAAAGAGCUCAAAGAGGUGGGGUGGUGGUGUGAUGAACUGGGAGAUUGGGAUUGACAUAUAUACACUAAUAUAUAUAAAAUGGAUAACUAAUAAGAACCUGCUGUAUAAAAAAAUAAAUAAAAUUCAAAAAACAAAAAAUAGAAAGAAAAUAAUCCAAAAAUACAAAGAUGGUUGUACAAGAGUUAAAUGUAGCUUUAAAUGAUAAAAAAAAAAAAAGCACUCAAAAACAUUGUUAUGUAUAACCCUUGAAGCAGAAACAGGACCCUGCCCCAAGGCUGCACUACUGUUUCUUGGCUGCUCCUCCCUUGUCUCUUCAUCCUCUCCCUUCCCUGAUUAGCAACUGUUUGAAAGACUUCCAUGCCCAGGUGGCCCACAGGGUCCUGCUUGGUUUCAGUAUCGCAGUAGGAAGCUGUGAAGCUCACAGUGAUGAAUACAAGUUUUCCAAAAUUCUAACUUUUGCUUGAAAGUUCAAAUUUUACUGUAAGCAACAAAUAGUGUCCGUCGUUUUCCAUGAAGUGACAGGUUCACUACAUUCAUUUUCAAGAAAAUGUCUGUCCAACUAUCAGAGUCUGAAUCAUCAGUGUUUGUCACUCAUUUUUUCAAGUAAAAAUGGUAUUCCAUGAAAACAGCUAGUUCGGCUGGCAACUCAAAGAAUCACACAAGUGCGUUUCCUUGAGACAACCAACAUACUUUGGAUGUUGAAGUGCUUCAUGCAUACUUUCCCCUUUCUCACACAGAAUAUUAAAAAGACAGACAGACAUGUACUACUCACAGAUUGAGAUUUAAUAAAAUUAAUAUUUUUUACUGCUCCAUCAAGGGCAUUCAUAUGACAAAUACACAGCAAUGAAGCCUACAAUGACUACCAGUAUAGUUUGGUGUGGUGGGGAGGAAAAACUUUUCCUCUACCCUCUUAGGUUCAGAAUCUGGGGGCCUGUGGAUUAAACAAACAAAAGACAGAUUUACAGGAGAAAAGCAUACAAUUUUUAUUAAUAUUUACAUGUAUGGGAGUUUACAGAAAAGAACUGAACCUCAAAGAAGUUAUUAGGGUUGAGAGCUUAUAUAUCAUUCUAACAAAGGAAAGGGGGUUUGAGCUUUGAGGAAUAGUAAACCAUGGGGAAGUGGCUAGGAAAUAUAUGAAGGAACUGAUGGAAGAUAAGGGUUAUUCUAGUAAGGUCUGUCUACAUAGACUCAUCUUUAUGUUCACUCUUCAUCUCCAGUGAUGAGUCCCUCCUCUCUUCCUGGUACUGAGGGAAACACCUCCGCAAAGGGAAAUCAAUGCCCUACUUUUAGGUAGAUAAAGCGAGGAUAAAGAACUCUACCUGCAUCUGUUGAUCCUCAGUUGCCUUCAGGUCACAAUAAUCCUUAUGCCAAAAUGGUAUACUUUGGGGUGGCAUAUCCUGAUCCCUUCGUGUGCCACUGCCUUAAUUUGUGCUAAGGCAUUAACAGAUUUACCCACCAUUCUUUUGAAUGAUCAGUCAAAUGAUAACAUAAUGAAAAGGGUAAAUAAUGUCUUAGUAUUAUUGUAACCGAGCAGGACCCUGUGGGGCCCUCCUGGGCACAAAAGCCUUUCUGUGAUCUGCCCCCCACCCUCACUCCUUGUUCCUUAUUUGCAGGAUAAAGGCUUCAGCCUCCUAGAUUUCCCUGAGUUCCAGGGAACAGAUUUAAACAGUUGCUAAUCAAGGAAGGAAGGGAAUGCAGAAACAAAGGAGGAGCAAUCAAGAAACUAUAGUGCAGCUAUUAAAGCAGGAUCCCGGUUCCUGCUCAAGGAAUAUACAUAACAGAAUCUUUGAUCUUCUACUGGGACUAAGGCCCCCACCCAGGUGGACGAUGGUAACUUCAGGCUGAGCACAAGAUUCCUGGAAAACCACCCUGUUACCUCACCAGCAACCAAUCUGAAGAACGCCACACCCUGCAGCCCCACCCCCAAAUUUUGCCUAUAAAUACUUCUCCCUGAAAACCAUCAGGGACUUCGCUGGGUUCUGAGCACAAGCCACCUGUCCCCCUUGCUUGGCCCUGCAACAAACCUUUCUUGGCUCUUCCAACUUUUUGGUUUGUUUGGCCUCAUUGUGUGUCGAGCACACCAACUUGCCUUUGGUAACAGGAGUCCUGUAUUUUUAUUUGCUCGAUCUGGCAACCUUAGGCAAGCCAUUACUCUUCAGCACCCCACGCAAGGUAAACCCCUUUUUAUAAACAAUGUCACCUCUGUCUUUGUUAGUCCUUGCCGCCUCCAUGGGAAGCUUAAACAGCUUACUGAAAUGAAUACUUUCAGUUCCCAAACUGCCCAGACACAGGGGACAGAGGCAAACCGUGGGCUGGGAUGGAUACUAGGGGUAAGGGCACGUCUCUUCCUGUAAAGGGUUGGGGGGGCUCUCCAUUUCAGCUUGGUCACAACCUCCUUUUAUUUAUUUAUUUUUGGCUGUGUUGGGUCUUCAUCGCUAUGUGCAGGCUUUGUCUAGUUUUGGCGAGCGGGGGCUACUUUUCAUUGCGGUGCACGGGCUUCUCAUUGCGGUGGCUUCUCUUGUGGAGCACAGGCUCUAGGCCUGCAGGCUUCAGUAGUUGUGGCACACAGGCUCAGUAGUUGUGGCUUGUGGGCUCUAGAGCACAGGCUCAGUAGUUGUGGCACACAUGCUUAGUUACUCCUUAGCAUGUGGUAUCUUCCCAGACCAGGGAUCGAACCUGCAUCCCCUGCAUUGGCAGGUGGAUUCUUAUCCACUGCACCACGAGGGAAGCCCACAACCUCCUUUCUUAAGCCACCUCUUCUCCCCACAGUCCCAUCAGUCCUCUCUCUAACCUUCCAGGACUGGUGUCUCUGCAAACUCUCCCCCCAUAAGACUGACCACCGCUCCCCACAGAGCACUGAAACCCAGCUCUACCUCCCAGACGGCCCCCUGGCCCAGGGCUCCUCUCUGAGAAGAAGACCACAGAGGGAGAGAUUUGGAUGAGGCGGCCCCAGCCAUGGGCCAGUCCCUAGGAGGGGCUGUGUGAAGUCAGACGCAGCAAACAUCUCCUGUUGUUGGGCACUGAUCUGGAAAAUAGCUGUGAUCAAAAUCAGAGCAGGACUCUUGUUCUUAGACCCCAGCUGCUACGCCGCAAGGAAGUCCAGGCGCACAGCAGCAUAGGUGGAGGUGCAGUGCCCACAGCCAGCAUCUGACUGCCACCACAUAAGAGACCCGAAAAGAGAACAGUCCAUCUUGAGUCCGGUCAAACUCCAGAACCGUAAGAGAUAACGAUAAAAUGAUUGUUCCUGUUUCACACCACUAAGUUGUGGGGUGGUUGGAAAUACAGUAGUGACUGGGACAUAUUCUAUCACAGGCUCCAUCCUGCACCAUGAGUAGCCUAGGACUCAUGUGUGUUGGCACCCCCAGAACGUCUGUUCAAACUCUCUACACUCUCCCUAUGUCCUCUUGCACAACAGCACCAUUGGCCAGCUCUCGGGAAGAUAAGGUGGGCAGAAACCAGUUCAGGUCUGGAAAGUGGGCUGGGGGCCUUGUAGGCAGGGGACCCAGAGUAUAGUCUAGAAUGGAGUGUGGCUUCUACUCUUGGUCCCAGUGGAGCAGGGAGGGCAGGACCAGAGUGAGGGCUUCUAAAGGCCAGCGCCCAGGCAGGGGCAGUACUGGCGGAGUACUUUAUAUCUACUGUCUCUUGUUCCUCCCCCAGCCCUGCCCCACUGGGCUCGUUGUCUUCGUUGCCCACAAGAACACAGAGGCUCACAGAAAGUCAGCCACAGGGCACAGGCACACCAGUAGCAGCCAAGGUCACAUGGUGGCCUUUGUCAUACCACAUGGCCCCCAAGGCCCUCCUUGGCUCCAAGACACUUGAUUGAGCAUUUCUCAGACAUACAGUCUACCUACCUUUGUUUAAAAACCAAACAAAACUGUACCCACUUUAGACUAAAACGGGAGGCCCGAGGAGCCUGAAAUAGGAGAACCCAGCCUUGACCGUGGGGGAUGAGGCCGGAACUCAGAGUGCUGGAGGCGUCCAGCUGCCGUCCAUCCAGGAGCCCAGUCCUGUUGGAGGUCACCAAACCAGCUGGUGGAGACUCAUUUAUCUCUGUAGCUCCCCACCAAAGGACCUCUUUAUCAGCCCAGUCUUUAAACCCGAUGUCCACCCCAAGGAGUGUCUUUUAAAACCGUUUGGCCUUGAGAAAGGCAGUCUGCCCCUUAUCUCUCUGUUUUGUUCUGUGUUGGCUUCCUGGUGGGUUAUCAGGGGGAGGCUUUGGUUUCUCCAUCUCCUGUUAUCUCCCUGCUGGCUUUCAAGGCUGCCCUCUCAGCAGCUCCUGGCCUGAGCUGGUGCCUUACCCUGCAGAGACUAGAGAACUGGCGGGGCAGGAGCCUUCCAGCCGGUCCUUCCUGAAUGCUAACUCCUGGAACUUGUCUGCCCCUCGUCCAGCUGCGCGCUCAGCAAGGCUGGCUGUGUGUCACUUAUGGCUUCUCCAGGGACAUAUGACAUCAAGAGGGCAAGCCCCAUGGAGCCUAGAUUUGGGGAGUUCACAGAGCAGCCACUUUUAGUUUUUUUAGGAAAACCAAUGUAGGCUUCUCACUUCACUUUUGUAUGUUUAUUUAUUUGCCAAAUACAUUACAAAAAGUAACUUCUAUUUCUUAAGAAAGGAUGAGGGGGAUUCCCUGGCGGUCCAGUGGUUAGGACUCUGUGCUCUCACUGCCAAGAGGGCCCGGGUUCAAUACCUGGUCGGGGAACUAGGACCCUGUAAGCCAUGCAGCGUAGCCAAAAAACAAACAAAAAACACCGCCCAAUAAUGUCAGAUUAAAAUGAUGGUGUCCCCCCACUCCCAGCCCUAUCCCCUGACAAGAAAGGAUGCUGGCAGCCUCAUAUAAUCCCUGAGGCCUGGGAAAACCUUGUCUGGGUUGCAUCAGCUCCUGGAUAGGUAUUAAGACCCAGAUCUGAGGAAACAAGGCUCUGGGAAUUCCACAGAGCUGCCAGGUCCUUGUACACAUAGGGCUGUUUCAUGGCCUGCAUAGCACCCUUGCCUGUGAGGCACCCCCAUCCCCUCCCUCACACUCACACUCAUGCUUCAGACACAGCCCAGGUGUCUCCUCCUCUAAGUAAGGCCUGCACUGUGGGUGUAGGAUGUGUGCGGUCACACAGGCCCUGUGCUGAGAAGGGCCCAGUGCUUGGUUUAAUGCUCUGCCAUCGCCAUCUCAAAAUCUGAGCAAAGGGCCUUGCAUUUUCAUUUUGCAUGGGGCCAUACAGGUUAUGUAGCCAGUCCUGCUUCCAUAACAUCUUUCUGAUGUCAUCUCUCACCCUAAGCUGAAUCUGGGGCCUCCACUGCACUCAGACAGUCCCUCUGCUCACUCCCCGAUCACUCUACGCUGAAAGCCCUACUCACUUAUCUGUCUCCCCACUAGACUCUGAACCCCCUGAGGGCUGGGGCAGAGUCUAUGUGAGUCCCACACCAUACUUAGUACAUGGCAGGUACUCAGUAAAUGUGUGUUAACAUAAAUAGUCGAGGGGAAGGCUUGGCCCAGUUCCUUAUGUGAUUCUGGCUAGAGCUGGGCUUUGACCCACUUCUCCUGCUUUGGGGCCAAGACAAUCUUCCCUGCCCUCUUGCUCUCCUGACCAGUGGCCAAAGGCCAAAACCAACCCAGACCAAAGCCAAACAUAAACUUGUUUUUCUGACCUAGGACCCAAAUUAAUGUAUUUUGUUUUUUCCCAAAGGUACUCACCAUUUUCUAGAAGAGUUAAAGCCAACUAAUCCAGACCGUCAGAACACCCUCAACUCUCCAGUGCUGGGUGGAGUAGAGUCAGAGUGAGGACCAAAAUACCACCCAAAGAGGACUAAGACUCCUGCUGGGCCAGAAGGGACUCAAACCAGGUCCCAGAUAUGAGGAACCAGUAAGCUGUGAACAAGGGGAGUGGCAAGUGCUGAGGCUAGAUUAUACAGGAGCAAAACAACCGAAGGGUAUAGCUUACACCAGUUCUGCCAAAUCCACCAUGCAAUCCCCUUACAGCCUUUCAUUCAUUCGUUCAUUCAUUCAUUCAACCACUCACGCAGGGGAUGUCUAGUGAGGAAGACUGACAGAUUCCAAUCUUUUUAAUGCUUAGGUUCCAAUCUUCUUUGGAACAAAGCAGAGUCUAUAAAUAAUAUGGGGGAAACAAGCCAUUGGUCCCCACCUGGCUCUCUGCACUGGACAGAGGUUCCACAGACGCACCUCCUGGGCUUUUACUGUCUUUAAAGGCAGCCCUCUCCUUAUUCUGGGACCCAGGCCCAAGCCAGUGGUUAUCUGAGCAUGCAACAGGCAGCACUGUGCUGUGCGCUGAACUUCCCCAACUUCCCCAGGGCCCCUCUCUCCUCCCUUAGCUGAGUUCUCACCCAGCUGCUCUAGGCCCCAUCUGAUUGGACCCUAGUGGAAGCCAGACCCGGAGCCACAAGGUCUCCUCUGCCUGCCCUGGAGGCCUGGGAGGUAGAACUGACCAUGCCUCCCCUCAACAAAUAUUUAAACACCCUCUGGGUGCCCAGCUCUGGGCUCAGGAGGGUGUAUCCAGCCCCAGGAGGGAAGGGAUCUGGUCUGCUUUCUAGAGCUCUGGUCCCCAUUGUGGGCACCCGAGAAAGAGGUGUUGAAGGAAUGAAUGGCCAGGCCUGGGCAGACUAACUUCUGGACAAAGUUGGGGCACAGAUGAUCAAUGCUUGGCUGGUCAGAGAGGGAAGAAGUCAGGAGUGUGGGAGAGGUGAAAAUAAAACGUUUCUAUUCUCUAAAUUCAAGAAAAGAAAAGACUUCUGGGGCCAAGCCCUAAGCCACGAACAGAUCCAUUUUAAACCUGGCAGAACCAUUGACAGCCUUACGGCAGUACGCUGAGAGCCAACCAAUCAGUGGUGGUCUCAUUCCAGUGACCACGCUUCUGAGAGCCAGCCAAUCAGCAACAGCCUUAUUCCCCAGCGCUACCGCUUCUGAAAGGCAACCAAUUCCUAAACUUUAAGGUUGAAAGUCAGCCAGUCUGCAAACAGUCUGGCUUCUGAAAGUCAGCCAAUUGCUGAACAGAAUGCUUUCCAUACCCUGUGUAAGAUCAGCUCUUGCGUUGCACAGAUUUUGUGCUUUCAUAGCAAGUACAGUUUUGUUUUUUUCUUUUUGCAAGUAAUAAAUACAGCUUCAUUGUUUCAUAUACAUAUGGGGUGGCCGGGGGAGACUUGCACUCAGAACACGUGUCCCAGUGUGACCGGCGGUUUCUGGACCUCUGGGCCACUUCUCCAUAAUCCUGUCCUCUUCUUUCCCCAGUGAUGUCUUAAGAACUGGGGAGAGAGAGUGUGUGUAUGGGGUAUCUUCACAAGAUCCUCUGUGGGACCCCACAGGUGGGGGAGCCGGGCUCAGCCUAAGGGAGAUCCACGGGCAGACACAGCCCAGCUCUCCCAGGGCUGCUCUGAAAGGGACACUGAUGGAUGGGGAGAUGACAUCACAUCUGAUUGGAGUGACAUGGUCUGAUGGAGAAGGCAGGACACCUAAGAGCAAUCAGCAAAACAACUCUGGAUCUCCCAAGUCUCACUCAGCCAGGCCCCUCUUCCUGGCCCAGGAGCCAGGUGAAAGCAGGACUGACGUCCAAAGGUCAUCUCUGCCCAGCAUCAGACCAAAGCACCACAGUCCCCUCAGGCUCUUCAGGGCUGGGCCUUACCUCCCUCUAGUGCCUCUUGGACCCAGGUGAGUGAUGGGUUUUCCUUCUCAAGGCCCAGACCUGCUUGCUGCUCAGGUGAGGCGUCUGGGGUUGAACCAAUAGACCUUGCCCCUCCCGUGCUGCUCACCUCUCCCAGAGAGAACUGCUUCACAACCAGGCACAGGAAGGGCGAGGCUGUGUCUGGGCACCCAUGGAUGGGCACCGAUAGGGAAUGGGGUUCAGUGACACUGCACAGGGGAGGUGGUGGGGGCCAGAAGGGAUCUUCCUGAGCCCUGGGAUUCUAUAAGUGGGGCUGCUCUGGGUGUGAGAUACAGGGGCCUAUUCAGAUGAGAUGCAAAUCAACCCUGCGGUGCCCCAGCCCAUCCCAGGGCCUCCCUUCACGUUCCUCCUGCCUGACUGUUGCAGGGAAGCCACGCUGGGGCUGAGCAGUCACUAAGGGGGCUGGGACCCUCAGCUUCACGCCGGGAGAGGUUCUUUCCCUCCUGCAGCCUCAGUUUGCCCACUUGAAUUAUGUCUAAGAGCUUGUUUCGAGUGAACUGAGGUCUAGGAGGCUGUCCAGCCAGAACUGGGUUGGGGUGGAGUAGAGGAUGGGGAGGUCUUGGAGGCCAGAGAAAGUAGGAAGCCAUCUUGGCCUUGAGGUGUAACAUCCCAGCAAUGUGGCCAGCCAACUUCUGGCUCAAGGGUGAGAGGAUGAGCCUGAGGGUGGUCGUGAGGGUGGAGACAGCUUGUGCUAUUGAUAUGCAAAGGUCAGGAUGGUGGACGCUGUAUACUCCAAGUGUAGGCAAUAAGCGGGGAGGGGGAUGUAUGCAGAGAACUUUAAAACAGUAACAGAAUAAAGUCUAUCCGCCUUUUAUUCUCCCAUGUGCUGGCAGUCCUAAACCCCGUCAGUGGCAAAAUACUCCCCUCUGAAAGUCUUCUAUUAGUUGAUUUUCUAAACAAUUAUUCCAAUUACUGUAAUUUUUAUAAUAAAUAAGCUUCAAAUUACCACUUUUACUGCAUAUUCAUCAAUAAAUGUUGGGUUCUACAGGAAAGCUCACUCAGAGAAUUCCCUGUUACACACAGGCCAGCCAAGCUCCAAGCACAGUUCAUUUGUCAUUCCUCACCGGGCCACCCCAUCUCCAGUCCCUGCAGCACAAAUUCCUGCAUUUAAACAGUGGAUUCUCAAUAAGCAAGGACAGCACAGUGAUUGUAAAGGCAAAGAAACAGAACUUGAGGGUUCUGUUUCCAUUCUGCCACGCUGUGUGACAGCUUGGAGGUCUUAUUUGUGAAAUUAGAGCCAAGUAGGAGGUGUAAUAUUUUUGUUUGAUAAAUGCAAAGGAGGGAAGUGUUAAAGAACGGUCCACCAUGAGUCAAAUGUGCUCAGUACGCCGCUGGCUCGUGCAGCUCUGCAGAGGGGGGACCAGGCAAGUUCUCUACCCUGGAGGACCUUGACGUCAUGGGGCAGGCUGCCUAAUCUGCAUAUCUAUCCGACCUACAGCCAAAUGUGAAGGGGUUGCAGAACCAGCAUAUAUUCACUAAACCUGUCAAGUAGCCACAUCCCUCGUAGAGGGAUGGCCUGGGGACUUUUGCAGCCCAGCAGUGGUGCCCCUCCCCCAUCCCAGCUUUAUUCACCUGUGGAUGAAGUUCCCUCGUGUAGCCUGCAGCCACCCCAUUGCCCCAGGUGGGAGGGGCGGAGGAUGGAAUGGCUCCAGCUUAGCCCUGAGCAAGCUCUGAUAAGGAGCAGAGGCCACCAGUGCCCCAGUCCUCAGCCAGGGACAAGAGUCUGGAAGGUGUCCUGAAAACCGACAGGUGCCCUCCAACCUAGGCCUGCAUCUCCCAUCCUCCCCACCCUCUCUCCUGUAAUGAGUGGAGGGGUACAAAAUCUACCACUGUGUCCUAAGGAUUAUUUUGAGCUGAAGAUAUUUGAGAAUCAACAGAUGCAGGAGGAGGCCUUUCUCUGAACCUCCCCUUAUCUGCCUAAAAGCAGAGCCUCCCAAAAGAAUUCACAUGUCAUAAAUUCCCUCCUGGGAGUUUCACAACCAGAGAAGACGGACUCCGGUCACCUGAGACCCGGAUAAGAAUUCACCUAAACAGACCUUAUCACAACACCUCUCACAUCUCCCAGCUAUUCUCCUAAGGGCCCACUUAUCUUUCCUAAAAGCUGUUUGUUUUCCCAUAAGUGCCCUUUCUCCUCUUUCCCUAUUAAGGUGGUAUAUAAUAUCUGAUAAGGGCUUAAUAUCCAAAAUAUACAAAGAACUCAUACAACCCAAAGCAAACGGAAAAUACCAAACAGUCCAAUUUAAAAAUGGUCAGAAGAACUGAAUAGAUAUUUUCCCAGAAAAGACAUACAAAUGGCCAAAAGGUACAUGAGAAGGUGCUUGGACAUCACUGAUCUUCAGGGAAAUGCAAAUCCAAAUCACAAUGAGAUAUCACCUCACAGUUGUUAGAAGGGCUGUCAUCAAAAAGACAAGAAAUAGGGCUUCCCUGGUGGCGCAGUGGUUGAGAGUCCGCCUGCUGAUGCAGGGGACACGGGUUUGUGCCCCGGUCCGGGAAGAUCCCACAUGCCGCGGAGUGGCUGGGCCCGUGAGCCAUGGCCGCUGAGCCUGUGCGUCCGGAGCCUGUGCUCCGCAAUGGGAGAGGCCGCAACAGUGAGAGGCCCGCAUACCACCAAAAAAAAAAAAAAAGAAGAAGACAAGAAAUAACAAGUGUUGGUGAGGAUGUGGAGGAAAGGGAGCCCCUGUACACUGUUCUUGGGAAUAUAAAUUGGUGGAAAACCGUCUAGAGGUUCCUCACAAAAUUAAAACAAAACUACCAUAAGAUCCAGCAAUUCCACUUCUUGGCAUAUAUCCAAAGGAAAUGAAAGUGAGAUUUUGAAGAGAUAGCUGCAGCCCCAUGUUCACUGCAGUGUUAGUCACAAUAGCCAAGACAUGGAAAUAAUCUAAGUGUCUAUCAACAGAUGAAUGGAUGAAGAAGAUGUGGUGUAUGUGUAUACACACCAUGGAAUAUAAUUCAGCUAUGAGACAGAAGAAAAUCCUGCCAUUUGUGACAGCAAGGACGGACCUCGAGGACAUUAUGCUUAAGUGGAAGAGAUGGCGAAAGAAAAAUACUAUACGAUAUCGCUUAUGCGUGGAAUCUAAAAAAGUUGCACUCGGGCUUCCCUGGUGGCGCAGUGGUUGAGAGUCCACCUGCCGAUGCAGGGGACGCGGGUUCGUGUCCCGGUCCGGGGGAAUCCCACAUGCCGCGGAGCGGCUAGGCCCGUGAGCGGCUGGGCCUGUGAGCCAUGGCCGCUGAGCCUGCGCAUCCGGAGCCUGUGCUCCGCAACGGGAGAGGCCACAGCGGUGAGAGGCCCGCGUACCGCAAAAAAAAAAAAAAGUUGCACUCAUAGAAACAGAGUGGAGUGGUGGUUGCCAGGGCCUGGGAGGGUGGAGGAAAUGGGCAGAUGAUGGUCAAAGCGUACAAACUUCCCUGUAUAAGAUGAAUAAGUUAUGGGGAGUCUACUGUAGAGCAUGAUGAUUAUAGUUAAUAAUGCUGUGUUACAUACUGAAAAGUUGCUAGGAGAGUAGAUCUUAAAUGUUCUCACCACAAAAAAAGAAAUGGUAGUUGUGUGACGUAAUGGAGGUGUUAGCUAACGCUGCAUGGUAAUCAUUUUCAAUGUAUGUGUCAACACAUUGUACACCUUAAACUUAUACAGUGUUAUGUCAAUUAUAUCUCAAUAAAGUCGGGAAACAAAAUAAGAUGGUAUAUAAGCCCCAAAUUCUAACUGCUUCUUUGAGCCACAUUUUCUGUGAGCUCCUUUGUAUGUAUGUAAAUGAACUUUUACCUUUUCUUAUGUUAACCUGUCUUUUGUUAGUUUAACUCACAGGUGCCCAGUCACUUAAUCUCAGUGGGCAGAGGAAAAGUUUGUCCUCCCCACCGUGAUUCUAAUAAAAAUAGUACUAAAAAUAAAAAUAUAUUGAGUGUGUACUGUGUGCCAGCCCUAUUAUAAAGCUUUAUAUGUGUUACCUAAUUUAAUCCUCCUCCCAGUAACCUUUUUUUUUCUUUUUUUCUUUUUUGCGGUACGCGGGCCUCUCACUGUUGUGGCCUCUCCCGUUGCGGAGCACAGGCUCCGGACGCACAGGCUCAGCGGCCAUGGCUCACGGGCCCAGCCGCUCUGCGGCAUGUGGGAUCUUCCCGGACUGGGGCAUGAACCCGUGUCCCCUGCAUCGGCAGGCGGACUCUCAACCACUGCGCCACCAGGGAAGCCCACUCCCAGUAACCUUUCUUUUUUUUUUUUUGCGGUGCGCGGGCCUCUCACCGCUGCGGCCCCUCCCGCUGCGGAGCACCGACUCCAGACGCGCAGGCCCAGCGGCCAUGGGCCACGGGCCCAGACGCUCCGCGGCACGUGGGGUGUUCCCGGACCGGGGCACGGAUCCGCGUCCCCUGCAUCGGCAGGCGGACUCCCAACCACUGCGCCACCAGGGAAGCCCCCCAGUAACCUUUUGAGGAGGCUCUGCGUAUUGCUGUGAAGAGCUUCAAAUGAGAUCUGAUGCAGAAUAACAUUGUAGGCAGCCACCACUGUUGAUGAGAGAGCAUCUGUACCAGCAAGUGCAUCACCACAGGCACCCACCUGGAGCUUAAGGUAUGAAGAAACAAGCUCAGAGAGGUAAUGGACUCACCCAAGACCACACAGCAGAACAGCUACUGAGUUCAAAUUUGGGCCUGUGGUCCUAGCUCUUAGGAGAGGCUCUUUAGAGCCACCUGUCCCCUGUCCCUUGCACAGUGCCUAGCACAGGGUUAUGAACUUCAAGACUAAACUGGGAUGAGGGGCUCAGGAGGAUAAGGCAGGAGGGGUGAGGGGGAAGGACCCAGAAGUCCCAACCCUACACUUUUGUCCUCUUUCAGGAUCCUCAUGGCCUGAGGCAGAGGCCUAGACGAAUGGGCGGCAGGACAGAAUGUUCUGGCAGCCACCGACUAGAUCAGAGGCACAAAUAUUUGCUAAGCCCAGGGGCCUCCCAGACAUGCUGGCAGGGUUCAGGGAAGCAAGUGUAUGGAGCCUCUUCCUGUGGAGCCGGGGAAUCCAGGAGAAGGAGAAGCCCCUCAGAGAGUCCUCCCUGACCCCAUUUGCCUUGUCACUUUUGUAUACAAGUCCCUCACACCCUCAAGUAUGUAAAGUCCAAUCACAAAGCACCUUCUCAGCUGUGAGCUGAAUCGGGAGGUGACCCCCAUUUUAUAGAUGAGGAAACUGAGGCCCACAGAGGGAGGAGAACACACCCAAGGGCUGGGAAAUGGGAGAGCCUGAAGUGGAGGCAGGAUGGUAAAGCUUACCCCCAACACCGACAUUCUCGAUCCUGCAUCUGGUCUGCUGCCCGGCCCUACUCAAGAACUGCCCUUGAACUUCACUGGCCUGGACUGUUACUUGCUAGUCCCCGACUGACCCCCAGACCCUCCUCUCUGGCCAGACCUCCCAUUCCCUCGCUUCUUACAGCUCCCGAGGGCUGCUCUCUCCCCAGGGGAACCUCCCCUCUCUUCUUACUUCCCAGCUCAGGGAGCACUUCCUAUCUCACACCCUCCUCAAAUCUUGACCCUCCUACCUUACCUAGCUCAGACCCAGCCUCCAGUCCAGGAAGCCCUCCUGGACUGCUCCUGUUCACAGGGCUCAUGCCCUCUCAGGAGUGGGGGCAUGAGGGGUCUGGGUCCUUCUCAGGAGUGGGAGUAAAACAGGGGUUUGAGGCCUAGUUGCAGUUCUGGCACCAGCUCACUGGGUGUUGUGGGGCUACCCUGUUCUCUCUGAGCCUCAGCUGCCUUAUCUGGACUCAGCUUGCCUGCCUCACCAGGGAACUGAGAGUAUGGGUGGGAAAACCUUGGCAGUGAGCACAGGUCACAGCUGCUGGAGUUCUUGUUGGCAUCAGCAGUACCCCAACCUUGGGCUCCAUCCAGACCCACUGUCAUCCAGCCACACACUGUCUCGACUUCUGCCUCUCCUCUGGGGGUGGGAGGCCUGAGUCUGGCCUGAGAGCUCAGCUGGGCUGGGUGCUGGGCACACAGGCACUCCACUGGCCCCAGCGAGCCAGGCCUGGGAAUGGGGCUGGAGGGGCUGCAGCUAGAGAGGUUGGAGGCCACCUUGAGUCCCAGCCCCUAGGCAGUCCUGCCCUUCAGUCCUCCAGGGUGUUAGCAACUUUUCCCAAUCAAGAGCAAACUCUAUCUCCAUGGCAGCAAAAUUAGGAAGGGCGCCCGAGAAAUACUGGAGGUUUUUUUCCUCCGGAGGCCGACUUUUGGAAGGCCCAAAGAAGCGCUUGCCACAAUGCCUAGAAUCAGAGACUGUCAUGGCGAUGCAUCAUAUGGAAGAAGCCUGCUCCCCAUCGUAGAAAUGAGGAGACUUGACACCUAGAGAGAUGCGGGGACUUGCUACCACUGUAGGGGAGACGCUAGUACGUUCAGGUAGACGGGCCGUCUUCUUGAAGUUGUGGGCAGAGCAAGCUCCCGCUUUUUACUUAGUUUUAAUGCUAUUCUGAGUUGCUUUGGGGGCUCAGGCCCUUUCAGAGUCACCCCUUUGGCACCGCCACUGCGUCGGGUCUUCAAACGUCUAAGACUGAAAGAAGACCAAAGACCUGUAUCUCAGUUCCGAGGCUCCGGACCCUCGGAAUCCCAAGGAGGAGGGAGCCUCGCUCGCCCGGCAAGGGGUAUGGGGGCUCCGCGGGGCGGGGCACGCCGGGGGCGGGGCCGAGGCAGCUAUGGCUCCACCCCCGGUAAACUCCGGACUCGGGUAAACAAGCCUAGGCGACGCCUGGGGCUUCGCCUACAAGCCGGGCGCCGAGUUACAUCACGGUUCCCGGGAGCUUCCCGCCCCGGCCGCCAGGUCCCCGCGGCCCUCGCUUGCCCGCCGCCUGUGUCCGAGGAGCAGUGGGCCGGCGAGGAGCCUCCCUCCCCGGGCCCCCCCAGGCCAGGAAGGCCUCCAGGUUUUCUCCGGAGGCCCCUGGGACUUCGUUGACACCGGUUCAGCUAGAGGGAAGGAACUACGCCGUGGCAGCACAAGAACUGCUCCCCAGUUUCCCCACCUGUGAAACCAGGGGGCUGCGUUAGGGUUCUGUGCCUCCCAGCUGGGGGAAGAAGAGGUGCGCCCUGAGCCCAGGGCGAGGGGCCGCCCCCGACCGAGCUGGCUGUGGCUUGGAGCCGGGCUUUCUACUUUAGCGGUGUAGUGGGUGCUCGCAAAGCCAGGUGUCCCAGAACGCAGACCCUCCCCUCCAAGGGGUCUGGGGGACCACUCAGCCGCGCAGAGCAAGGAUGACUCUGUAGUAUCCUAGCAUCUCCCUCUCCCGACUUGCUGUGGGACACCGACCCUCUGGGUAACAGGAAGACCUGCCCGCCACCCUCACAGCGGGUUUGUGCCAGCGCUUUGGAAAAGGUAUUGGGUUGCACAACCAGUGGGGGAGAUUGCCGCUCAAUAUCGACAGCUUGCACCUCGGAGCCUGAUCCGAGCAACAGGCUGCCUGAGGAGGCUGUGGGCCCCCGCCCCUGGGACACUCAAGCAGAGCGUGGGCCAGAACAGGUCACGGAGGCAGCAGAAGGGAUGCUUGCCCGAUCUCUAGGAGCUGCCCGGUCCCGGCACCCAGCGAUUUGGUGAUUCUGCACCUGCGCUGUCCAAUAAGGUAACCACUAGACACUUGUGCCCGUUGAACACUUGUAGUUUGGGGACUCACUUGGAACCCCAGAGUUGGCAUGAAGGUCAUUUUAAGCUGAAGAUAUUUGAGAUUCAGCAGAUGCAGAAAAAAGCCUCCUGGGAGCUUCUCUUAUCUGACGAAAAGCAGCAACUUCUGGGAAAACGAAGCUACCAUAAAUCCCCUCUCCAGGGGAGUUUCACGGCCCUGAAGAAGACGAGAGACCUUUCACACUUGUAUAGACAAAUAUUAUCACAAACUUUCUUAUGUUGGUUCUCCUAAAAACCCAUUUAUCAUUCCUAAAGAAAUCUAUUUUUUUCCCCAUAGAAGCUAUUAUUUCCCCCCAUUUUCCGUAAGUUAGGUUUGUAAACCUUUAACUUUAAUCAUUUAAUGAGCCAGUUACUUCCUUUGUUGGCUCCUGUGUGCAUAUGAAAUACACUUUUUUCUCCUGUUAA